CCUAAAUCCCCAAAGACGCGCACUGCUCAUCGUCUCCUUCACAAAGCCGCGUUUCAACUCGCCAAAUCCAUGGUGAGUGAUCCCAAAUCCCUAACCCACGCGUCGUUCCAUCUUUCCUCUUGCCAUUCUAACGGUUUCUGAUGCCAAGAUUCCCCUCUCCUCUCACUCGCUCGAAUUUGGAUUUAUCUAACGAUUGGAAGGUUCUGAAGGAGGAUUCGCUGGAUGAGUGUGAGGCGUUGGAUUGAUUUCACUCAAUCCGAGCCCCACAUUCAUAAAGGGGUUCGUCCUCAAAAAGGAACGAGAUCUGAUUUUGAGAGGGGGAUGCUGGUAAAAAAUUUUGGAGAGAAAAGUUGAAGGGUUUUCUUUAACUUUUGGUUUCUGUUCUCUUUUUCUUUUUUCCUUCGUUUAAGAGUUCUUUCAAAGGUUAAGAGAAGCAUACACUUUUUUUUUAUUUUUUCGGAUCCAGAUUUGAGUUCCAAAGAGAUACAAAUUGAAGUUCAAGCUUGGUUUUCUACUGUCGUCCUGCUGAUUUGUUGCUGAACCUCGCUAGAACUCGGAGGCAAAAGGCGUAUUAUUAAAGCUAUAAUUAUUAAAAGAAGGUUGCAACUUCAGAUUCUAUUUGUCUGGAGGUUUGUGUGAAAGGAAAAGCUGUGAUUGAGCUUUGAGAUCAGCCGUGGAAUUGAGAUUUCGGUGCCGAACCUCGUGAUUAGAAUUUGGGUUGCUGCCUUCAGUUCACCAGGAGACCCAAGGUAGAUUUGCCGGCGUUCGCAGACCCUGGAGUUUCCUUCCCUCUAUCUUAGUUUUCAUGUCUCCUUUCAUUUCGAGAACGGAUAUAUUUCUUUUAAACCAGUAUUUGUAGAAAUGUUUUAGAAGUUCAUGGAUUGUGACACCAGAUCUUUUGGGUAGUCGUGUAUUAGAAUUUUAAACUAUUAUAUAAUUUCCGCACGUCUUA